ACCCGCAACCCUCCUCCUCCCACCUCUCGCAACCAAGCCCUCCCCUCGCCGCUGGCAUUAUCUGAUUCUUACCCUCACAUUGUCGUUGACCCUCCCCCUUUCGACGGAAACCCACAACCUCUCGCCCCCCUCUCGCAUGGCCUUCUACAGAGAUCUUCACUCCCGUCUCGCAAUGUUAGCAAGAAAACUAACAAACCUCUCUGCCCACUCUCGAAUCCCCUCUCAGUUGUGACCCUUCCUUGUCUCUCUCAAAGAUGAGCGAAGGACUUCGAAUUGGUAUAUUCUCUACCAGCAACCAUUGACGAUGAUGUAGUCCUUGAAGCCGUGACACUUUGAGGGCAAUUUUGGUGCCAUUAGCCACUUUAAGGCUGAAAAAUAUGUGGGCUUGGUGGGCGACGGAGAUGGUGGUCAAUAGAUGGGUGAGGUAAUGGAUUUUUUUAUGCUCUGGUUUUUUUGUUCAAAACAAAUGGUGAUCUAAAUUGGAUUUGUGAUUAUUUGAUGCAUGUUUAGGUUUUUUUAUCUGAGUUGGUUUGUGUAAUUGAGGGAACGAUGUGAAUGUCAGGCGACAGACGAUGAAUAAAGAAAAUGAAAAUUAAGAAUUA